rnacentral:lncRNA from 1 species
UCCCAUGCUGUCAUACCCCAAAAAUUACCCAUCAUUUUUCCUAAAAAAAAAUAAAUAAAAAAAAAUAAAUAAAUAAAUUAAUUAAUUAAUUAAUUAAUUAAUUAAUUAAUUAAAUAAUUAAAAUAAAUAUAUAAAUAAAAUAUAACAAAUUAUUUUGGACUUGGGUCUCCCUCAUUUCAAGCCCAUUACCCACGAAAUUAGUUUAUAAAUACUGAAGUUUCAGUAGAGGACACUGGGAGUUACACUUGGAGUUUACACUGGGAGAUUCACUGGAGAAAGAAGGAAGAGAAGCAAAACACUCUGAGGUUUCCUUGGAACAAAACCUUGAGGAAAAAGAAAGAGAGAGAACAGAGAAGGACGGUAUAGAAACUUUG